UACGUAGGGUGCAAGCGUUGUCCGGAAUUAUUGGGCGUAAAGAGCUCGUAGGCGGUCUGUCGCGUCGGCUGUGAAAACCCGAGGCUCAACCUCGGGCCUGCAGUCGAUACGGGCAGACUAGAGUUCGGUAGGGGAGGACUGGAAUUCCUGGUGUGAGCGGUGAAAUGCGCAGAUAUCAGGAGGAACACCGGUGGCGAAGGCGGGUCUCUGGGCCGAAAGCUGACGCUGAGGAGCGAAAGCGUGG
rnacentral:rRNA from 1 species